AACGAAGUGAAGCAUGUUAUUUAAUACGAAAGUACGCGUAAAAUCUUACCAGUUCUUGCAUAGCCAAUCCCUCUUAUUAAUAAAUAAGGAGAAAGUAUUUAUUUAUAAAAAUAGUAAUUUGUAUUAUUAUUUUUAUUAUAUUGUUUUUUCUUUUUUUUAUUUAAGACUGGAUUGAGUGAUAGUUAUUUAUAAAUAAGUUAUUUUACUUUUUUUGUUUUUCCAUAUUUAAUAUACACCUUUGCAGUUAUAUUUAGCCCUAGGGAAGAUCAUACUACUUUUCCUUUGCUUUGCUCCUUUAGGGAAUAAAGACAAAAGCAAAAGUGUUCCUACAUAGGAUUGAUAGUAAUAAGGCAAAAGUAGAAAUAGAAAUGGAGUAGACAAAAUAGUGUAAAUAUAUUUAAUUUAUUUAUAUUAAUUUAUCCGUUUACAGGU
rnacentral:rRNA from 1 species